rnacentral:misc_RNA from 1 species
UCCGGCUUAACGCCGGCGGUCUCCAUAGAGUGCCCAACUUAAUGGUGGCAACUAAGGAUAGGGGUUGCGCUCGUUAAGGGACUUAACCCGACAUCUCACGAUACGAGCUGACGACAGCCAUGCAGCACCUGAACCGGAAGUGUAUUGCUACAAGAGGAUAUCUCUACCCUUGUCUUCCGUUAUCUAACCCAGGUAAGGUUCUUCGCGUUGCAUCGAAUUAAACCACAUGCUCCACCGCUUGUGCGGGCCCCCGUCAAUUCCUUUGAGUUUUAACCUUGCGGCCGUACUUCCCAGGCGGGAUACUUAAUGCGUUAGCUGCGGCACUGUAGGGGUCAAUUCCCACAACACCUAGUAUCCAUCGUUUACGGCGUGGACUAC